UACGUAGGGUGCAAGCGUUGUCCGGAAUUAUUGGGCGUAAAGAGCUCGUAGGCGGUCUGUCGCGUCGGCUGUGAAAUCCCGAGGCUCAACCUCGGGUCUGCAGUCGAUACGGGCAAACUUGAGUGUCGCAGGGGAGACUGGAAUUCCUGGUGUAGCGGUGAAAUGCGCAGAUAUCAGGAGGAACACCGGUGGCGAAGGCGGGUCUCUGGGCCGAUACUGACGCUGAGGAGCGAAAGCGUGGGGAGCGAACAGG
rnacentral:rRNA from 1 species